CCUACGGAAGGCACCAUUAGGGAAUCUUCCGCAUGGGACAAAAUUCUGACGGACCACCGCCCCGUGAUUGAUGAAGGUUUUCGAAUCGUAAAAUUCUGUUGUUAGGGAAAAACAAUUACCGUUCAAAUAGGGGGGUACCUUGACGGUACCUAACCAAAAAGCCACGGCUAACUACUUGCCACCACCCGCGGUAAUA
rnacentral:rRNA from 1 species